rnacentral:misc_RNA from 1 species
CCUAGAGUUGUAGGCUUUGCCUGCUAUCUCUUACCCAUGUCUUUUGAGUACCUUCGUUUCCUCGGCGGGGUCCGCCCGCCGAUUGGACAAUUUAAACCAUUUGCAGUUGCAAUCAGCGUCUGAAAAAACUUAAUAGUUA